CGUUUAACAAAAAUUGAUCGGACACACUUUUGCUAGUAUUGUGUUUUGUGAUUUAUUUUUUAUUUUUAUGAGUUAUGUUGGAAUAGCCACAAAUUAUUAGUCUACAUUUAAGAGUUGAAACUGAUAUAAUAAGUUAUACAGCAUACUAUCUUCCUCGAAAAACGAGGGGAGAUGAUAUAAACGCAAUAAAACAAAAUAAGUGUUGUCUUCAAGUAAAUGUUACAUGGUCAUUAUGAAAAAAAAAACUACGAUUAGUUUUUAUAGAUUCUGCAUUAAUACGUCUCUACUCUUUAAUAGUUAAAUUGUUUAAUGAUUUGCAAAUAUCGCGCUUAAACUGUAUACAAGCAUAUAUACGUAUGUAUGAUGAAACUAAC